rnacentral:rRNA from 1 species
UACGUAGGGUGCAAGCGUUAAUCGGAAUUACUGGGCGUAAAGCGUGCGCAGGCGGUUUUGUAAGUCUGACGUGAAAUCCCCGGGCUCAACCCGGGAACUGCGUCCGAUACUGGCAGGCUUGAAUCCGGGAGAGGGAUGCGGAAUUCCAGGUGUAGCGGUGAAAUGCGUAGAUAUCUGGAGGAACACCGGUGGCGAAGGCGGCAUCCUGGACCGGCAUUGACGCUGAGGCGCGAAAGCCAGGGGAGCAAACGGG